CAAUGGAUUCACCAUGAUCUUUUCAACUUUUCUAUAUUCUACACAUAAUUGAGUAAGAUAUAUAUUUAUGCAGCACCAGUCUUUACAUUUUUAUCACCACAUUCAAUCAUAAACACAGAAGAACAGCAAAACUAAAGAACUACAAAUUUAGUAUUCAAAGUGAACUACAAAAGGCAAGAACAAAAUAAAGCAGUUAGAGAGUAAUCGCGAUACCGAUUUCAAUUAAAUGUUACUUGUAAUGCGUUGCAGGUGCGGUUAGCGGCAGAUUUAAUUGAAUUUCAUACGCUCGUAUGUGUGUAGUUUCAUCUUUAAUGUGCGGACGACGCUUAACUUACAAAUCCAUGCGUCGCAGCGACCAUCGUUCAAACUCUUUGAUCUUCAGGCGCAGCUUUAAGCAGUGCGUGAUUACAGGGUAUUGAGCCCGGCCCAAUCCAGCCCAGCAGACAGAGCUCGGCGCAGAUUAGCACAACGCAACUUAAUUGCGGAUAAACAGCCAUUCUGUUAUUACACAGAAAAAUACAAACUGUUUACUUGAAGCAGAAUUUAAAGUCUGCAGUGCGCGAACUUAAGUUCCACAAAAGACUUAACGCAAGAAACAAACUUGCGCUAUAGAUUUUUCUCCACUUUCGUUUAGUGUGGUGAAUAAAAAGCGACUGCGAGCGGGAAAGAGCGUAAAAGCGCAGCAGCAUUGAUAGAUGGUUUCAUGGUUUUUUAUGGUAAGUACUGCAAGAUUGGUUAUUUUAAGUGCUGCGUAAUACUUUGCAAAAAUAUAAAUAAACUUGUUUACAACUUCGACUUGAAAGACAAAAAAAAAAACUUGAAUACAAAUGCAAAUUCAAGCGAAGAGUGUGCGGAAUCGGUUUUUAGCGAAGUAAGUACAUUAUACAUACAUGUGUAUGUGUGCAUGUAG